AGUGAACGCUGGCGGUAGGCCUAACACAUGCAAGUCGAACGGCAGCACAGUAAGAGCUUGCUCUUACGGGUGGCGAGUGGCGGACGGGUGAGGAAUACAUCGGAAUCUACUUUUUCGUGGGGGAUAACGUAGGGAAACUUACGCUAAUACCGCAUACGACCUACGGGUGAAAGCAGGGGAUCUUCGGACCUUGCGCGAGUGAAUGAGCCGAUGUCGGAUUAGCUAGUUGGCGGGGUAAAGGCCCACCAAGGCGACGAUGCGUAGCUGGUCUGAGAGGAUGAUCAGCCCCAAUGGAACUGAGACACGGUCCAGACUCCUACGGGAGGCAGCAGUGGGGAAUAUUGGACAAUGGGUGCAAGCCUGAUCCAGCCAUACCGCGUGGGUGAAGAAGGCCUUCGGGUUUUAAAGCCCUUUUGUUGGGAAAGAAAAGCAGCAGGUUAAUACCCCGCUGUUCUGACGGUACCCAAAGAAUAAGCACCGGCUAACUUCGUG
rnacentral:rRNA from 1 species